rnacentral:sRNA from 1 species
UACUUCACGGAAGAGUGAAGUCUUCCGUAAGGAUGCAGCAGACUGAAGCAAUUCAGACAUCCCGCAACCAGCGUUAGUAAGCAGUUCCUAUCACUGGUCCGGUGCCAAGUCCGGUAAUGGCGCUCUGAAUACCGGGUUUAACUACUGGCGAAACCCACCCUAGAGGUGGGUUUU